rnacentral:tRNA from 1 species
GGAAAGGUGCUCGAGUGGUUGAAGAGGCACGCCUGGAAAGCGUGUAGUCGUCAAAAGCGAUUCGAGGGUUCGAAUCCCUUCCUUUCCG